rnacentral:lncRNA from 1 species
CCAUGGUUCUACAUACAUUUCGAAAUUACCUUCAUCAAAUAAUCGCGAGUGACCAGCUGACGAGCUAGCCGCAUAUGAUGCGCCAAUCGUAUGAUGAGUCAAAGGGAAGGAAAGAUACAUAGCGUUAAAUACAGAUUAAACGCGUCGACGCAUGAGGCGAAGAAAACUGCGCAUUUGAGGAUCACGCUGUUAUACCAGUAGUUGAUGAUUUCUUAAGGAAAAGUUAAAGCUAGAAGAGCUGAUCAUCGCAUAUCUAUACAAUAUUACACUCGAAAAAGACGAUCUUCUCUCACGAAAUUCUUUUCUUCUCGCUUAACAAAGAGGACCUUGAGACCUUUCUCGUAGAAUAAAAGAGAAAGAGAGCUGUAACCCUGAGGGAACGUUUGUCUGGCGUUAACACUUGAAGUUGGAUCAUUAUAAAUGUAUGCCAAACGAGAUUAAUCAAAUUGUUGAGCGCGUGACAAAACAAACGAGCGACGCAAACAGAAAGGAAAUUAUAAAUUGUCCCAGGAUGAGUCACGAUUCCGAAAGCCGAUACCGACGCCCAUAGUUUCCGGCUGCUAUUUCAACUGAAGCGGCGAGUGCAUAUCGCAUACAUCGUUCCAUAUCUAUGCUGUAAUUUCAUGCUAGACAUUCAGCAUUAUCGCAUCUUAUGUCUAUCACCUUUGAUUGCACUUUUCGCAUUUAAAAUGAAAUAAACGAUUAUACGAGGGAUGAAAGAAUGAAUCUCGUAAGUCUCGAAUAAAAAUUUAAAAUACAGAGUUUUUUACGGUUUUCUAUAGUUAUGUGUGUUAUCUAUUAAUUUUUUUUUCUUUUUUUAAAGGAAAACAUGAGAGAAAAGUAUAGAAUAAGGACUCGUAGAAAUGAAGCAGCGGCGUAUCUGACGCGUUCGUUUCAACGAAAAUCAUGAUUCACAAUUAAUCGUUAGAUUUACUAGCUUCUUGAAUCGCUCGUCAGAUCUACGGUAUAGACGAUAAGCGAUUCCUUAUCUUCUAACAAGUCAAAACUUCCUCGAGAUAAGGAAAUGUCUUAAUACAGAGAGUCUUAAUAUUGAAGUAAGAGAUGAAAAAUUGAGGUAAAAUGAAUAAGAGUCUUAAUGGCGAUUUAAUGAUAUCCGAAAUAAAUUGAUAAUUUUCCAAAGAGAUUUUUAUUUAAUAUGAUUGAUAUUACGCAUCAGAAAGAAAGAAAAAAUUGUUUUAUAGAUAAUAAAUUAUACGAUUAAGUAAAAAGACAUUUAUAAGAACCGAUUUGCUAUACGGAAACUCGUUAUGAAACGUUUAGAAAGUAUCGCAUCAAUAUGUAAUUAUUGGCACAUCAUGUGAGUUCCACAAUGGAACUCUGGAAAAUGCGUCACUUGGUACACAUUGUCACAUUAAUUAUUCUCAAAAACACCUGUGAACGUCUGCUUUCGCGUCUUGCUUAUGAUCAAGGAGUUUGUUUUCCGCGCGCAAGAACCAAUGGCAUUACCUUGACAGAUAAAAAUAAGAAUUGUAGAUUCUUUCGCACGUCCUUCGUACGAGUAAAAAUUAUAUAUAUUUCCUCUUUCAGAACGGUGUAUAAUCGAGUACUUUGAAGAAUCACGGUAGCCGCGAGGACAAGUUCCGCUGUUUCCCCGUUAGUGACAGGUCAAAAACCUACCUUGUCGUUGUCACUGUCGCAGACCAGUUGUGCCUUCUUGCGUUUCUUUCUUUUCUCAAAUUACCACUCCCGUUUGCACGCAGUAAACUCACGUAAAAAAAAAAAUCACAACAUUUUUGUUUCUUUUUUCUUUUGGAGUUUCUUUGAAACUUAUGUGCGGGAUCUGUUUCUCGAUCAUUCAUUUAUAUUCCGUUCACGAUGUGGGUUCACGCUAUUUCUUUUCAUUAGCACGUGACUCAUUACUUGCGUUCUCAUUCAUUGUUAAACAUACGUUGUCUGCAAUUUCUCCCUUCGUAUUUAGCAACGUAAAAUCUUACGCGUCUACACGAAUGAAUCAUAGAAGGUACGAUAAAAUUAACAAUCCACUUUUCAUAAAAUUGUAAAAAUAAAUGUCGAUUCUAUACCUUGAAGUCUAAAAACAUUAGAUAAUUAAUUGUUUGGAUUGUUUUUUUAACACGAUGGAAAUUUUCAGGAUAUAGACGAGUGGUUUACGAGAAAUAAGAGCCUAGUACGUGCUGGCCGCGAGAGAAUUAAUGAGUUAAAGAGACACUUGGCGCGCGCGGCAACGAGCGGAGAAAGACGCGCGCGCGAGCUCCAUCGUAGAAUACACACACACACGCACAUUGACGGGCGCACAUGCACACAAAGGCACAAUGAGCGAAUGCGACCGUAGGUUUCACAGUUUGCGACCGUAGGCCUUCUCCUUUCUCCUCCUCCUCGUGGAGCUGCGCAUUUCAGAAUACAUUUUUGGGAUAUUCAAGCUAGAUUGCCGGCUCCAAAAAUUUUCUAAAUUUCAUGUAAAACGACCGACGUUCACGUACGUAAAGAUAAAAACAAUGUGAGAAACGAUAAGAUAAAAUGGGGCCGAGCGACGACGACGCGUCGCGUCGUCUUCAAACCUGGCAGCGCAGCUCGUGCCUUUGCACUGACGCGGCUCCGCUCUCCGUCGCCCACACAGCCAUCGCUGUUGCUCCACUCGGUGGUGGAAAGAGAUCGGGGAAGGGGAGCAGGCCAACGCCAUCACUGGCAUCAAUUGCAGCGGCCGCGGAUAUUUACAAAGAGAAAUUGCGUAUGCCACGUGAGAUAUGGACAGUUCAAUAAAAUGGACAAGGAGAGAUAUUGUUCUACGAAGAAUAUUUUAAUGAAACCUUUAUUAAGACUUUUAUCGUGCCAAAGACAAAUGACGACUUUGGCCAUACAAACAGGUAAACGUUUUCCCGGCGAGAGUCUCUCUAUGCAGAUGCAAGUUAUACAAUAUAUCGUUUUAUAAGAUUUUAGAUUAAUAGUAAAAAAUAGAAAUGCACAAACAGGUUUUGAUAUCAGAUUUGAUAAACAGAGUAUAAUGCAAAGAAACAAGAUAUAAAUACUUAUUUAGUCUUAAAUUAAAUAAUAUUUUCAUUUAUGUGAAAAUACAAUUUUUAUCUGUUAAUUGGCAGCUUAUUUUGCACCGCGAUGUUGUACAAAUCACUUCGAAUCACAGGAUUUCAUUCAUUGAUUCUGUUAAAUUAACUGCCAUUUUAUGACAUUUAAUAUCUGAACAAAGCAUCAUCGAUUGCACCUGCACCAUCGAGGAACUUGCGCGGGUAUCUCUACUAUCUUAAAUCACAAUGGUGACGACAAGUUUAACUAUAUUUAUUCGUUAAUUAGUUUCUUAAGAUUGAUCGUUACGUAUAAACAGGUACGCACGCACGCACGCACGCACGCAUGUUUUAGCAGCCGUAUACAUAA